GUCAAACUGCACAAGUACAAUUCUCUGAUGAAGUAGUCUAUGCCAAAAAAAAACAAGAUCUCUUCCCAGCAAAUAGAUAACAAACAUCAUAAUAAGCGCGUCUUCAAUGAUGAAUAACCAUGAUCACAUCGUUUAUAUACAUGCAUAUGGUUAUACAAGAAACCAUAGCAAUAUCAAACAGAAGCCAUUGUCUCAACAUAUUGAUGUGUAUCAUACCAUUCAAACACCGAAACAUCUUCCCAUAUAACAGGGAUCUUUGCUAUCUCUAUAUCCGCAACCUCCUUGAUAGUCAUACGAUGAGCAUCAUAUUCAACGAUAACGUCUGGUGUGGUUACCAAAAGCCUCGUUGUAUCUUCCUUCUCAUUAACAACCACACAUACAACAUUGCAAGUACCACCAUUCACAUCUAGUAAAUCAACUUCUUCACUCAACAUUAAUGGAUGAGUAGUAUGCAUGUAACUAAGAUCAACACGAUACUUCACAAACCACUUAGAAUAAUCAAUCUCCAUCUCAAGAACUUCAAAACUCAUCGACCUAAAUUCAUGUAUCUCAAUUAGAUGCAAAUGUCCAACGGACUCCCCAAAAUACCUUAUACUCCUUUUCAACACUCCAAUAGGAAGAUCAGUACUAGGCAUAUCUCUAAAACACAUCGAAUCCAAAUCGAACCUUAAGAAAGACGACAUUUCACUAACCCAAUGCAUACAACCAUUCAAGAACACACCCUGACCUAAAAAAUGUUGAUUUGCAUCCAAUAUCUUCAUCUCCGUAUCCAUACAAUUUUUCCAAACUUCAGUUUCAGAUGAAUAUACAGAAAUUUCAUAAACCCCAUUUAAUUUCAUCACACAUAAGAGUUUAUAACAAUCAGAUACCAUUGGAUCAAAAGCCAAAUUCAUUACAACAAUCUCAUAAGCUUUUAUACCUAAAUAUGGGAGUGGAAUCAAUCUAUGCUGAUUAGUACUAGGGUUAUAAACAUAAUAAUCAAAAUUUU
rnacentral:misc_RNA from 1 species